AAGAGAUAAUGAACUAAUAAGAACUGCUAAUUACUUAUAAUUGAGGUUAAACUCCACAAAUCUCUUA
rnacentral:tRNA from 1 species